rnacentral:rRNA from 1 species
AUGACCAACGCAAAAGUAGCUAGAGUGUUAUGCUUCCUAGUCCUUGUGGCUCUCUCUUCUUGUUCGCUCUAUGCACGAGCAGCCAACGAGGUAGAUCACUGCCUCCUUGAUAAAAAAAAGGUGAUGCGAGACUGUUGGCAUCACAUUGAAAAGAAACUUGGUGACCAGUACCCGCCACUCCAUAGUGCAUGUUGCAAUACAAUAAGAGAUGCAAAAGACAUCCACUGCGUCUGUGAUCGGUUCACCGCUCACGAACUGACUUUGCUCAGUGUAGCCAAGUUUGCCAUGGCUACACAUGUAUGCGGCAAUGGGUUGCGCACACACAGUCACUGUGCAGGU